UUUUCAACUGCACAAUUAAGGCAGCUACAUUUGCCGAUACCAAACAUAUACACGUAUAUGCACAUUGAGUUGAGAAAGAGGUGCCACCUAUAUCAUGUGUCAUGUGACAACAGAAAACUAUAUCUUGCCACUUUGGGGACACUGGGUUGCAACUCAGCUGUUUGAGAGAAAUUAAAUAAUACAGUGUGUCCUUUGAGGCCAAAAUGACUAGAAGAUCAUUUGAGACUAGGCUACAAUAUUCCUGCUCAAGAGCUGAGUUCGUUUCUUCCUUCAUGAAGGAAGUUAAUGAGAGAUGAGUUUGAAAAAGGUUGUCUCGUGGCAAAGUUUGGCUCAUUGCCAAAGUAAAGUAAACAGGUCUUACCAAAACUUCUGAAGACUGAUGAUAAUGAACUGGUGUUUCAUUCUCAGAUUUUAAUUUUGUUAAAAUAGCUGUAAAAGUCCUUGGAAUCCAGUUCCAAGGGUAAAUAAAAAAGACUGUCUUUUCUGAGACUUUUAGUAAAAAUUAAGCUAUAAUUUUCAUAGUGGUUGAUAUAAUCUAAAUACAAAUGAGUAAUUAGGUAACUUCAUUAUGUAGUUUCUAUACACAAUUUUCUGCACAGUAGUAGUUUAUUACAACCAAGUAAAAGCCACUUACCUGUGCUCCUACGUGGAUAUGAAUUAGACAUGCUAUUUUAUUUUCUACAACGGUCUGGAGAACAGGGUUAGGAGGUAAAAGGUCUCACAGCCUGAGGUGGAGACUAGAAGAACAGCUGUUUCCACCACCCUUUCCACCAUGUGCAUUUUUAGACCCAAGCAUUGUUUGUUCUCUGUUCCCUGCUGCAGGCAUUUCAAAGCCAGCUUCAGCCCCGCCUCACGGAUACAUGUGCUCAGUGGUGCUGCUCACUGCUUUAUGUUUAACUGGUAGUCUCUGCCACUGUGUUCUCCUGAACUUUAAAUUUCCUCAGUUAUUACAACCAAUUAUUCGGUAUAUACUUUGUGUUGGACAAUCUUUCUCUUGUGAACAUCUAUGAGUUUCGAAAACAAAAAUCAUCAGAGCUGAAUCUGAGAAAUAGAACUGUUUUCGUCACAAACAAGUUACAGUUACGAGGUACUGAAAAAAAAUGUGUGAUUCUGCAAGUAAUUCCAAAAGAGGAAUUUUUUUAAGAUUUUGAGCAAUGCAUAGUAUCACUGGAGUAGGGUAGAUUAGGUACUUGGGAGAAACGAAGGAAGAAAGCAAGCAAGCGUCACAGGACGGACGGACAGGUACCAUGUCUUACUGUUUCUUUUCUUGAUUUUUUGUUUGUUUGUUUGUUUGUUUGUUUCAGACAGAGUCUUGCUCUGUUGCCCAGCCUGGAGUGCAGUGGCGUGAUCUUGGCUCACUGCAACCUCCACCUCCCGGGUUCAAGAGAUUCUCCUGCCUCAGCCUCCCAAGUAGCUGGGAUUACAGGU
rnacentral:lncRNA from 1 species